rnacentral:rRNA from 1 species
AGUGAACGCUGGCGGUAGGCCUAACACAUGCAAGUCGAACGGCAGCACAGUAAUAGCUUGCUCUUACGGGUGGCGAGUGGCGGACGGGUGAGGAACACAUCGGAAUCUACUUUUUCGUGGGGGAUAACGUAGGGAAACUUACGCUAAUACCGCAUACGACCUACGGGUGAAAGCAGGGGAUCUUCGGACCUUGCGCGAUUGAAUGAGCCGAUGUCGGAUUAGCUAGUUGGCGGGGUAAAGGCCCACCAAGGCGACGAUCCGUAGCUGGUCUGAGAGGAUGAUCAGCCACACUGGAACUGAGACACGGUCCAGACUCCUACGGGAGGCAGCAGUGGGGAAUAUUGGACAAUGGGCGCAAGCCUGAUCCAGCCAUACCGCGUGGGUGAAGAAGGCCUUCGGGUUGUAAAGCCCUUUUGUUGGGAAAGAAAAGCAGCAGGUUAAUACCCCGCUGUUCUGACGGUACCCAAAGAAUAAGCACCGGCUAACUUCGUG